UGCAAGUCGAACGAUGAAGCUGGAGCUUGCUCCGAUGGAUUAGUGGCGAACGGGUGAGUAACACGUGAGCAAUCUGCCCUUGACUCUGGGAUAACUGCGGGAAACUGUAGCUAAUACCGGAUACGAGGCUCGAAGGCAUCUUCGGGUCUGGAAAGAAUUUCGGUCAAGGAUGAGCUCGCGGCCUAUCAGCUUGUUGGUGAGGUAAUGGCUCACCAAGGCGACGACGGGUAGCCGGCCUGAGAGGGUGACCGGCCACACUGGGACUGAGACACGGCCCAGACUCCUACGGGAGGCAGCAGUGGGGAAUAUUGCACAAUGGGCGAAAGCCUGAUGCAGCAACGCCGCGUGAGGGAUGAAGGCCUUCGGGUUGUAAACCUCUUUUAGCAGGGAAGAAGCGAAAGUGACGGUACCUGCAGAAAAAGCACCGGCUAACUACGUGCCAGCAGCCGCGGUAAUACGUAGGGUGCAAGCGUUGUCCGGAAU
rnacentral:rRNA from 1 species